rnacentral:rRNA from 1 species
UACGUAGGUGGCAAGCGUUGUCCGGAAUUAUUGGGCGUAAAGCGCGCGCAGGCGGUCCUUUAAGUCUGAUGUGAAAUCCCGUGGCUUAACCACGGGCGGUCAUUGGAAACUGGGGGACUUGAGUGCAGAAGAGAAGAGCGGAAUUCCACGUGUAGCGGUGAAAUGCGUAGAGAUGUGGAGGAACACCAGUGGCGAAGGCGGCUCUUUGGUCUGUAACUGACGCUGAGGAGCGAAAGCGUGGGGAGCAAACAGG